rnacentral:rRNA from 1 species
UUUUUAAAAUCGGGGGCUUGAUGCUGGCGUGGUAACACGCACUGUGCUCGGCCUUCGUGCUUAAUCCACUCAACACCUGUGCACCUUAUCGAAGUUAGUAGUCUUUCCUCCUUAGUUGGAGCCGCCGGGGUUGACUUUGUUAGUAGUGUUUCGACGCGAAAGCAUAUGGUCGGCCUUGACUGGGAUUGACGAACACUUUGACUUCAUCAUACACACUUUAAUUGUCUUGUAGAAUGUAAUGCUCCUUGUGGGCGAAAUGAAAUACAACUUUCAACAACGGAUCUCUUGGCUCUCGCAUCGAUGAAGAACGCAGCGAAAUGCGAUAAGUAAUGUGAAUUGCAGAAUUCAGUGAAUCAUCGAAUCUUUGAACGCACCUUGCGCCCCUUGGUAUUCCGAGGGGCAUGCCUGUUUGAGUGUCAUGUUAACAUCAAACCCCUUGCUUGUAAAGGCUCGGGGCUUGGAUUUGGAGGUUGUGCUGGCCUGCUUCAUUGUCAGUUGUCGGCUCCUCUUAAAUGCAUUAGCUGGACUUUGGUCUGCGUGUCGGUGUGAUAGUUUAUUCACCAAUCGCUUUCCUAAUGGGUCUGCUUCUAAUGGUCUUCGGACAAGGUCUUAACAGCCUUCUUGACUCUUUGACCUCAAAUCAGGUAGGACUACCCGCUGAACUUAA